GAUGAACGCUAGCGGGAGGCCUAACACAUGCAAGCCGAGCGGUAUUGUUUCUUCGGAACUGAGAGAGCGGCGUACGGGUGCGUAACACGUGUGCAACCUGCCUUUAUCUGGGGGAUAGCCUUUCGAAAGGAAGAUUAAUACUCCAUAAUAUAUUGAACGGCAUCGUUUAAUAUUGAAAGCUCCGGCGGAUAGAGAUGGGCACGCGCAAGAUUAGCUAGUUGGUGAGGUAACGGCUCACCAAGGCGAUGAUCUUUAGGGGGCCUGAGAGGGUGAUCCCCCACACUGGUACCGAGACACGGACCAGACUCCUACGGGAGGCAGCAGUGAGGAAUAUUGGUCAAUGGGUGCAAGCCUGAACCAGCCAUCCCGCGUGAAGGACGACUGCCCUAUGGGUUGUAAACUUCUUUUGUAUAGGGAUAAACCUACCCUCGUGAGGGUAGCUGAAGGUACUAUACGAAUAAGCACCGGCUAACUCCGUG
rnacentral:rRNA from 1 species